CAGCCAUAUAAUAUUGAAAUACUGGUUUCCAUAUGACCACUGAAGUUAAGCAAUGGCAAGCCUAGUCAGUAGCUAGAUGGGUGACUGCUUGGAAAUACCAGGUGCUGUAA